rnacentral:rRNA from 1 species
GAUGAACGCUGGCGGCGUGCCUAAUACAUGCAAGUCGAGCGAACAGACGAGGAGCUUGCUCCUCUGACGUUAGCGGCGGACGGGUGAGUAACACGUGGAUAACCUACCUAUAAGACUGGGAUAACUUCGGGAAACCGGAGCUAAUACCGGAUAAUAUAUUGAACCGCAUGGUUCAAUAGUGAAAGACGGUUUUGCUGUCACUUAUAGAUGGAUCCGCGCCGCAUUAGCUAGUUGGUAAGGUAACGGCUUACCAAGGCAACGAUGCGUAGCCGACCUGAGAGGGGGAUCGGCCACACUGGAACUGAGACACGGUCCAGACUCCUACGGGAGGCAGCAGUAGGGAAUCUUCCGCAAUGGGCGAAAGCCUGACGGGGCAACGCCGCGUGAGUGAUGAAGGUCUUCGGAUCGUAAAACUCUGUUAUUAGGGAAGAACAAAUGUGUAAGUAACUAUGCACGUCUUGACGGUACCUAAUCAGAAAGCCACGGCUAACUACGUG